GUGCUUACAUUGACAGCUUGAGGCACAGGACUAAUUUCUACUGCAUUUGGCAACAUGAGUAUGAAUCACUUGAUCCACCAAGACUUGAACGAGCUGUGGAGGACAAGUAGUUGGUACCUGACAAAGGCCACUGUGAUGGGCAUUACUUGCACCGGGUACCACCUGGAAAAGUCGCAGUUGUGCCCCGAAUGAUUGUGCACCGUCCUCUAAUCACUCGAACGUGAUGCCACACUUACAACUACUGUGGGACUAGGUGGUUUCAAUAUCAUACUUGUGAGGCUGACUUUCAUGAACUAUAGUGUCACGCCAUUUUUCUGUAUCAAACCAUGUAUAAUAAAAGUAUGAAAAAUCCA